GACGAACGCUGGCGGCGUGCUUAACACAUGCAAGUCGAACGAUGAAGCCCAGCUUGCUGGGUGGAUUAGUGGCGAACGGGUGAGUAACACGUGGGCAACCUGCCCCAAACUCUGGGAUAACUCCUCGAAAGAGGUGCUAAUACCGGAUACGAACUAGACAGACAUCUGUACUAGUUGGAAAGUUUUUCGGUUUGGGAUGGGCCCGCGGCCUAUCAGCUUGUUGGUGAGGUAACGGCUCACCAAGGCUACGACGGGUAACCGGCCUGAGAGGGCGACCGGUCACACUGGGCCUGAGAUACGGCGCAGACUCCUACGGGAGGCAGCAGUGGGGAAUAUUGCGCGAUGGGCUAAAGCCUGACGCAGCGACGCCGCGUGAGGGAUGAAAGUCUUCGGAUCGUAAACCUCUUUCAGUAGGGACGAAGCGAAAGUGACGGUACCUAAAGAAGAAGCACCGGCUAACUACGUGCCAGCAGCCGCGGUAA
rnacentral:rRNA from 1 species